AGCUCCAAUAGCGUAUAUUAAAAUUGCUGCAGUUAAAGCGUCCGUAGUCGAAUUUCGUUCAAUUCAGAUGGAUGCAAAGACAACUUCGGUUGUUAUUUCGCGCUUUCUGAAUUGAACUUGGGGAGACUUGGGGUAAAACCCGAUUUUCCCCUGUUACUUUGAGCAAAUUGGAGUGCUCCAAACAGGCUAUAGCUUGAACAGCUCAGCAUGGAAUAACAAGAUAGGACUUUGAUUCUUCUUGUUGGUGUCACGAAUCAAACGUAAUGGUUGAUAAGGACAUACGGGGGCAUUUGUACUUGCUGGAGAGAGGUGAAAUUCUAAGACCCAGCAAAGACAAACAAGUGCGAAAGCAUCUGCCCAGUGUGUUCCUG
rnacentral:rRNA from 1 species